rnacentral:rRNA from 1 species
ACGAACGCUGGCGGCGUGCUUAACACAUGCAAGUCGAACGGAAAGGCCCUGCUUUUGUGGGGUGCUCGAGUGGCGAACGGGUGAGUAACACGUGAGUAACCUGCCCUUGACUUUGGGAUAACUUCAGGAAACUGGGGCUAAUACCGGAUAGGAGCUCCUGCUGCAUGGUGGGGGUUGGAAAGUUUCGGCGGUUGGGGAUGGACUCGCGGCUUAUCAGCUUGUUGGUGGGGUAGUGGCUUACCAAGGCUUUGACGGGUAGCCGGCCUGAAAGGGUGACCGGCCACAUUGGGACUGAGAUACGGCCCAGACUCCUACGGGAGGCAGCAGUGGGGAAUAUUGCACAAUGGGCGGAAGCCUGAUGCAGCAACGCCGCGUGCGGGAUGACGGCCUUCGGGUUGUAAACCGCUUUCGCCUGUGACGAAGCGUGAGUGACGGUAAUGGGUAAAGAAGCACCGGCUAACUACGUG